rnacentral:lncRNA from 1 species
GGAGGAGGAGGAGGAGGAGGAAGAGCAGGAGAGCUCCAGCACCAACCCCAACGGCUCCCCAGGGAGGAGGAGGAGGAGGAGGGGAUGAAGGCCACGCACCAAAGCCCUGAGGAGGAGGAGGAAGAGGAGGAGGAGGAAGGGGAGGAAGGCCGCACACACAGGCAUGGGACGGGGCAGAGGAAGAGGAGGGGGAGGAAGAGGAAGAUGAAGAAGACACAGGGCAGGGUGAGGAAGAGGAGGGUGAGGAAGGCCCAGAGGAGACAGAGCCGGAGUCAGAGGAAGAUGAGGAGGAAGAAGAGGCAGAGGAAGAGGAGGAAGGCACAGAGCAGGGGUGAGGAAGAGGAGGGCGAGGAAGAGGAGGGCGAGGAAGGCUCCGCUGCCAGCAGGAGGAGGAGGAGGAAGAUGAGGAAGAAGAGGCAGAGGAAGAGGAGGAAGAGGAGGCAGAGACACAGCAGGACGAGGAAGAGGAGGCCGAGGAAGGCACAGAGGAGGAAGAGCAGCAGGCACAGGGAGAUGAGGAAGAUGAGGGGGAGGAAGAGGAAGAGCAGCAGCAGCAGCAGCAGCAGCGGAGGAGGAGGAUGAUGAGGCCGAAGGCCCCGCCCGCUCCCCUCCCCCCCCGGUGCUCCCGGUGCUCCCGGUGGGGGGGGCG